rfam:Ornithorhynchus anatinus chromosome 3, whole genome shotgun sequence.
AUCCUCUCAGGGUCUCAACCUGGAGAGUUUCCAGUACUCUACCAGUCUCGACUAUAGGAGGGAGAGUCAAGCAGAGGUCUACCCAAUCCAUUCCUAGCUCGGCCAGUGACUAGAGAGUGGAAGGCAAUCUGCUACAAGU